AAGAAACGACGUCGUGUGGAUAAAAGGAAAGGUAAGCAAAAACGGCGCGAAGUGGCUCCGUUUCUGUAAGUGGCGCUUGCUCUUGCCUUGAAGAUCAUAGCUUGUGUAAAAACUGAGUUGGGAAAGAAGAGGAAGAAAUUCGCAUCUCUUGUAUGUUCCCUACCCUCUGGUCAUUGCUGAUCAAAUUUAUUUGCUUGUUAAUGUUGGAUGGUUCCUGAAGCUUGUUUCAGCCAUACAUGUUAGUUCUCCAUGGACAUUUUUUCCUCUUGAUGUUACUCUAUGGGGUCAGGAAAUCAUGCCGACCACACAAGUCAAUACACCGUAAAUUAAAUGGGCAAAGUUCAGCAGGCUUCAUGAUCUGACUGAGGCCGGUUGCUUGAUGGCUUACCAAUCUGUAGACAGUUAAUUGGAGGUGUAGUAGGAGUAUUCAACUCUCCAAAAGUUUGCCAACAGAAAGGAUCAUACAUGUGAUAGUGUUCUUGCAGUGGUUUUAGUUCUAUGGUAGUUAGGCUUACAUCUAUACAUGGCAGGGCAUCACUGCAAGCAAAGUGUACAGGUUUUACUGUGUAUGUCCCUCUGAUUUUUUCAUAGUUUAUUCCUGAUAGAGCCACAGCUGAAGUUUGGUUUUUGCAUGUGCUUUUGUCACAAUAGAAUUGGUCAAUCACAAUUGGAAGUUGAACCUCAGAAACUUGAAUGUUUGAGAACAGUACUCCCUGUACAGAGCCCGAUCCACCCUGCAAGUGCAAUUUUUGAAAUAAAGUGUGAGGAGCACUACUAGCAACAAGGUUGAGUUGGAAAGUCUAUGAUUCAUUUACUAAGCAAAAACAUUUCAGAUUGAUAAAAUUUUAGUUUUCUGGCAUUAGUUUGAAGUGUGAACUUGGGGAUGUUGCGCAUAAACAAGAUAAAACAUCAUAUUGAGCUGUUGAAGCUUUGGCUGUGUUCAAAGUUUCAGUUAGAACAUUUAUUCCAUUUUCAAGAGAGCGAAGUCAUCUUCUCAAAAUUUGAUCUUUGAAAUUUUAUCAGAUUCCAAAACUUUUGAUUAAAAUAGGGUAUUCAGAAUGUUUGAAAUUGCUUGGAAAUGAAUUGUAAAAGUUAAAAACCUUAUUAAAGUGGAGAUCAUAUUCACUUUCACAUUUCAAUUGUAUGGUAUGUCAUUCUUGGUUAGUCUCAUGCGUGGGAUUGAAAGUCUUUUGGUUUGUAAAUGCCAAUUUAACUCAACAAAUUUUGAAUGAAAUGGGAGCACAGAUGGUAUGAAUACCUGCCAUGUCUUAAUUCUGACACCAGUCAUUGUAUUGUGCAUAAUGACAUCUCGAACAGUGAUGUUGGAGACACAGGCUCUGGUAUUAUCCUUUCCCAGACUUCCAAUGCUGAUUCCAUGUCCUGGUCCACAAUUCACAUUGUGUACGUAUACAUUUGUGCAUCCAGUCUGUAUAGAAACGCAAUCAUCUCCUGCAUAAAUCAGGGCAUUUUGAUUUUUAAUAUCAUCAUAAAUCUGACAUGGACAUCCUUCUAUGUUCAAUAUCUAUUGCAGACUAAUUGCCUUUAGGAUCAAUAUUAUUUGCAAUCUGAUAUUCUCAUGUGAUUCAUUCAUUUCGAGUUUGUAAGGCUUGUUUCAGUAGGAACUUGACAUUUGAACUUGUUUAGCAUUCGUUGCUAUGUUAUGCUAAAACUUUUCAGACCUUCACUUAGAGAAGUGGACAAGCAGAGAAAGAGUAUUUGCUGAUGAGGACAAAAGAAAGCACGAGGGGUGAAACAAAGAUGUGUUCUUGUUGUCUUUAUGGUUCAACCUAAUCCUAUACUGGAUCCCAAUGAUGAUUUAGAGUAUGACACAUGUCAAAUGACUGAUGGCUACAUUAUUCAACAUGUCAGAGAUUGUUGGCCACUACAUGUCAAAUAACUUGUGGUUGCUGAAGGUUUGACCAAACAGUUCAACUAGAAGGAUAAGGUUCUGCCUUUGUGUAUCAGAAUUCUAUCCCAGAUAUCUAAUCUACCUUUGCUGUCUGUAAUUGCAAGAGUGGUAUCAACGUUUCCAAGUUUUAACUUUGCAGGUCUUAUUCUAGUUUGUCAAUAUUUAAGCUAACCCAGUUGCCCACAUUGUCUAAUUAAGCAUGGUAUUUGAUAUUCUUGAUCUGCAAGUAACAUAAUUACCACAAGCAAGAUUACUACUGUGAAGUAGCACAUCUUUGGAAUUCUGCAGGUGGAUUCCAUCCGUGUUAGGACUGUCACCAGGUGAUGAGAUGUUUAUAUCGUGUACCACCACUCCCAUGCAGUUGUCAAACUUGAGGUGGCAUUGGGGACUGUUUUGAAUUGUAAUGCCCGUGACUGUUGUAUCGAUACUUCCAUAAAAUCUUAGUGCCUAUAAAAAGAAAGCAAGCCAAUUGUGUUAUGGGACUGAAGGGUUAUGAGCUAAAAUAGAAAUCUUCAUAGUCAUUGAAUGGUCCUUACUGUAGGCUUAAUGCUUGGCAUUUUCUUACUGAAUUCAUUUCUUAUCUGCCACACAAUUUCGCAAGAAGCAUUAUCAGAUGCAUAUAAUACAGAGAGAUACAGCUGAAUUACAAACUUAAAGGAUCAUCAAAUGGGUAAUCCUGCCACCAUACUGAGCCACUCCCAUCGAUGGUGCCCGUUCCCUGAAUUGUAAUUCCUUUAAGCUUUGUGAAUUCAAUCCACCACAGAAGACCUUUUCCCCAAACAUUGGAGUUUGUUGGAGCAAUAAUUGUGCCAUACAACUAAGAAAAAAUUCAACUAAUCAGUUUAUCAGUUUUGAGUGCAUUACUGUAGUUUUCAUCUGUAUGUUGCUAGAAUUCUUGUUGCUUCAACCCUUCACUUUAUGAUAGCAUACCUAUGUGGGACACGUAUCAAACAUUUAAAACAGACAUGGAUGUGUCGAACA